rnacentral:rRNA from 1 species
GCGAACGCUGGCGGCAGGCCUAAUACAUGCAAGUCGAGCGCACCUUCGGGUGAGCGGCGGACGGGUGAGUAACGCGUGGGAAUCUACCGUACCCUACGGAAUAACGCAUGGAAACGUGUGCUAAUACCGUAUACGCCCUUAGGGGGAAAGAUUUAUCGGGGUAUGAUGAGCCCGCGUUGGAUUAGCUAGUUGGUGGGGUAAAGGCCUACCAAGGCGACGAUCCAUAGCUGGUCUGAGAGGAUGAUCAGCCACAUUGGGACUGAGACACGGCCCAAACUCCUACGGGAGGCAGCAGUGGGGAAUAUUGGACAAUGGGCGCAAGCCUGAUCCAGCCAUGCCGCGUGAGUGAUGAAGGUCUUAGGAUUGUAAAGCUCUUUCACCGAUGAAGAUAAUGACGGUAGUCGGAGAAGAAGCCCCGGCUAACUUCGU